rnacentral:rRNA from 1 species
GUGGGGAAUAUUGGACAAUGGGGGGAACCCUGAUCCAGCCAUGCCGCGUGUGUGAAGAAGGCCUUUUGGUUGUAAAGCACUUUAAGCGAGGAGGAGGCUACUCUAGUUAAUACCUAGGGAUAGUGGACGUUACUCGCAGAAUAAGCACCGGCUAACUCUGUGCCAGCAGCCGCGGUAAUACAGAGGGUGCGAGCGUUAAUCGGAUUUACUGGGCGUAAAGCGUGCGUAGGCGGCUUUUUAAGUCGGAUGUGAAAUCCCUGAGCUUAACUUAGGAAUUGCAUUCGAUACUGGGAGGCUAGAGUAUGGGAGAGGAUGGUAGAAUUCCAGGUGUAGCGGUGAAAUGCGUAGAGAUCUGGAGGAAUACCGAUGGCGAAGGCAGCCAUCUGGCCUAAUACUGACGCUGAGGUACGAAAGCAUGGGGAGCAAACAGGAUUAGAAACCCGGGUAGUCC